UACAGAGGUCUCAAGCGUUGUUCGGAUUCAUUGGGCGUAAAGGGUGCGUAGGUGGCGGGGGUAAGUCAGGUGUGAAAUCUCGGGGCUCAACCCCGAAACUACACUUGAUACUGCCUUGCUCGAGUACUGGAGAGGAGAUUGGAAUUUACGGUGUAGCAGUGAAAUGCGUAGAUAUCGUAAGGAAGACCAGUGGCGAAGGCGGAUCUCUGGACAGUUACUGACACUGAGGCACGAAGGCCAGGGGAGCAAACGGG
rnacentral:rRNA from 1 species